UUCCUUGUACAUUGAAUUCCAUAGUGAGUUUGUCGAAAUUCCAUAAAAUAUCGCCCAAUGUUAUGAGCCACUCAAUUCCCAGCACUAAAUCGCAACACCCCAAAGGAAGGAGUAGCAUAUCAGCAGUAAAAGUUGUGUGCUGAAUUAUCCAACUAAAAUUUUUUACCACGGAAGAUAUCUUGAUCUUUGACCCAUCUGCUACCACGACAUUCAAAGGGGCAAUCGUC
rnacentral:lncRNA from 1 species